rnacentral:lncRNA from 1 species
CAGGGUCAAGUUGUAGAUCAGGGUUAAGGCGUUGAAGUCUUGCGAUGAUGUUAAUUGCAAUUUGUUGUUGCAUUGUAUCAUUUUAUUCCUCAAAUAUUUCUAGCAUUCUUUGUUUCAUCCUCUCUUCUAUUUUCUUCAUUUUUUGUUGCAGCAGAUUACCGGAGGGUGCAGGAUCUCCCACUUUCUCUUUCAAUGUUGUCUUGUUAACUCCACGUCCAUACAAUCUUACAAAUCUUGAAUGCUCAGGUCCCAUGACUGAUGCAAAGGCAUCAACUGGCUCAGUAUCAUCUUCUCUUUCUUGAGUUUGUAUU